AAUAUUGCACAAUGGAGGGAACUCUGAUGCAGCAACGCCGCGUGGGUGAAGAAGGUUUUCGGAUCGUAAAACUCUGUCAUUGGGGAAGAAUAAAUGACGGUACCCAAUGAGGAAGCCCCGGCUAACUACGUGCCAGCAGCCGCGGUAAUACGUAGGGGGCGAGCGUUGUCCGGAAUUACUGGGCGUAAAGGGUACGUAGGCGGCUAUAUAAGUCAGAUGUGAAAUACCGAGGCUCAACCUCGGAGGUGCAUUUGAAACUGUUGGGCUUGAGUGCAGGAGAGGAAAGUGGAAUUCCUAGUGUAGCGGUGAAAUGCGUAGAGAUUAGGAGGAACACCAGUGGCGAAGGCGACUUUCUGGACUGAUACUGACACUGAGGUGCGAAAGCGUGGGGAGCAAACA
rnacentral:rRNA from 1 species